GUUGAAUGAAGGAGUAGUUAGUAUAUCUCUAAUACCAAUUGGAUAUUAGACUUAUGUAGUGAAUGAUUUUUAUUAUUUAUUAUCGGUGGAAUUAUUUGUUGAAUUUGGUAAGAUAGUUAGUGGAACUAUUUAUUUUAUUGCUUUUAAAAAGUUUAUGCUUUUGACUUUUGGUUAUUCUAAAAGUUUUGUAUGCUCUUUAAGAUCACGCCCUAGGGGAUAUGUGGCCGUGUCAUAUGGCCGACCCAAGUGAUAGAUUUGGGAUGUGAUGGAAAUGGUAUCAAAGCCUAUAUUUAAGAUCACUAAGGAUUGUGAUAGAAGUGGUAUUAGAGCAUAGGUUUAGGUAUCCUAGGUUAAGCUAAA
rnacentral:lncRNA from 1 species